GAGUUUGAUCCUGGCUCAGGACGAACGCUGGCGGCGUGCCUAAUACAUGCAAGUCGAACGAACUCUGGUAUUGAUUGGUGCUUGCAUCAUGAUUUACAUUUGAGUGAGUGGCGAACUGGUGAGUAACACGUGGGAAACCUGCCCAGAAGCGGGGGAUAACACCUGGAAACAGAUGCUAAUACCGCAUAACAACUUGGACCGCAUGGUCCGAGCUUGAAAGAUGGCUUCGGCUAUCACUUUUGGAUGGUCCCGCGGCGUAUUAGCUAGAUGGUGGGGUAACGGCUCACCAUGGCAAUGAUACGUAGCCGACCUGAGAGGGUAAUCGGCCACAUUGGGACUGAGACACGGCCCAAACUCCUACGGGAGGCAGCAGUAGGGAAUCUUCCACAAUGGACGAAAGUCUGAUGGAGCAACGCCGCGUGAGUGAAGAAGGGUUUCGGCUCGUAAAACUCUGUUGUUAAAGAAGAACAUAUCUGAGAGUAACUGUUCAGGUAUUGACGGUAUUUAACCAGAAAGCCACGGCUAACUACGUGCCAGCAGCCGCGGUAAUACGUAGGUGGCAAGCGUUGUCCGGAUUUAUUGGGCGUAAAGCGAGCGCAGGCGGUUUUUUAAGUCUGAUGUGAAAGCCUUCGGCUCAACCGAAGAAGUGCAUCGGAAACUGGGAAACUUGAGUGCAGAAGAGGACAGUGGAACUCCAUGUGUAGCGGUGAAAUGCGUAGAUAUAUGGAAGAACACCAGUGGCGAAGGCGGCUGUCUGGUCUGUAACUGACGCUGAGGCUCGAAAGUAUGGGUAGCAAACAGGAUUAGAUACCCUGGUAGUCCAUACCGUAAACGAUGAAUGCUAAGUGUUGGAGGGUUUCCGCCCUUCAGUGCUGCAGCUAACGCAUUAAGCAUUCCGCCUGGGGAGUACGGCCGCAAGGCUGAAACUCAAAGGAAUUGACGGGGGCCCGCACAAGCGGUGGAGCAUGUGGUUUAAUUCGAAGCUACGCGAAGAACCUUACCAGGUCUUGACAUACUAUGCAAAUCUAAGAGAUUAGACGUUCCCUUCGGGGACAUGGAUACAGGUGGUGCAUGGUUGUCGUCAGCUCGUGUCGUGAGAUGUUGGGUUAAGUCCCGCAACGAGCGCAACCCUUAUUAUCAGUUGCCAGCAUUAAGUUGGGCACUCUGGUGAGACUGCCGGUGACAAACCGGAGGAAGGUGGGGAUGACGUCAAAUCAUCAUGCCCCUUAUGACCUGGGCUACACACGUGCUACAAUGGAUGGUACAACGAGUUGCGAACUCGCGAGAGUAAGCUAAUCUCUUAAAGUCAUUCUCAGUUCGGAUUGUAGGCUGCAACUCGCCUACAUGAAGUCGGAAUCGCUAGUAAUCGCGGAUCAGCAUGCCGCGGUGAAUACGUUCCCGGGCCUUGUACACACCGCCCGUCACACCAUGAGAGUUUGUAACACCCAAAGUCGGUGGGGUAACCUUUUAGGAACCAGCCGCCUAAGGUGGGACAGAUGAUUAGGGUG
rnacentral:rRNA from 1 species